rnacentral:rRNA from 1 species
UCGGGAAUUUUGGGCAAUGGGCGAAAGCCUGACCCAGCAACGCCGCGUGAGGGAUGAAGUAUUUCGGUAUGUAAACCUCGAAAGAAUGGGAAGAAUAAAUGACGGUACCAUUUAUAAGCUCCGGCUAACUACGUGCCAGCAGCCGCGGUAAUACGUAGGGAGCAAGCGUUGUUCGGAUUUACUGGGCGUAAAGGGCGCGUAGGCGGCGCGGUAAGUCACUUGUGAAAUCUCUGAGCUUAACUCAGAACGGCCAAGUGAUACUGCUGGGCUAGAGUGCGGAAGAGGCAACCGGAAGUCUUGGUGUAGCGGUGAAAUGCGUAGAUAUCAAGAGGAACACCUGAGGCGAAGGCGGGUUGCUGGGCCGACACUGACGCUGAUGCGCGAAAGCCAGGGGAGCA